CCUACGGGAGGCUGCAGUGGGGAAUUUUGGACAAUGGGGGCAACCCUGAUCCAGCCAUGCCGCGUGAGUGAAGAAGGCCUUCGGGUUGUAAAGCUCUUUCGUCCGGGAAGAAAUUGGCGGCUCUAACAUAGCCGCUGGAUGACGGUACCGGAAGAAGAAGCACCGGCUAACUACGUGCCAGCAGCCGCGGUAAUACGUAGGGUGCGAGCGUUAAUCGGAAUUACUGGGCGUAAAGCGUGCGCAGGCGGUUUGCCAAGACAGGCGUGAAAUCCCCGGGCUCAACCUGGGAACUGCGCUUGUGACUGGCAGGCUAGAGUACGGCAGAGGGGGGUGGAAUUCCUGGUGUAGCAGUGAAAUGCGUAGAGAUCAGGAGGAACACCGAUGGCGAAGGCAGCCCCCUGGGCCUGUACUGACGCUCAUGCACGAAAGCGUGGGGAGCAAACAGGAUUAGAUACCCGUGUAGUC
rnacentral:rRNA from 1 species